rnacentral:rRNA from 1 species
UACGGAGGAUCCAAGCGUUAUCCGGAUUUAUUGGGUUUAAAGGGUGCGUAGGUGGCCUGUUAAGUCAGGGGUGAAAGACGGUAGCUCAACUAUCGCAGUGCCCUUGAUACUGAUGGGCUUGAAUGAACUAGAGGUAGGCGGAAUGUGACAAGUAGCGGUGAGAUGCAUAGAUAUGUCACAGAACACCAAUUGCGAAGGCAGCUUACUAUGGUUUGAUUGACACUGAGGCACGAAAGCGUGGGGAUCAAACAGG